CUUGUUUAAUAAAAAGCUGUUUUUAUUAUCAAAUCAAUAGCCCUUUAAGGAAGGCCAGCUUACUAAUAUAGUUAUUAUUGUAAAACUGGACAUAAGAAUCUUUACAGGUAUAAACCUUGUGGCAUUACAACAAAGAUUCUUAAAAAUUCCAGUAACUAUAAUCUUUCAGAUCUUACCACUGUAUUAUGUAUGUGGGUAGACAUGUAUGAG